GAUGAAGAACGUAGCGAAAUGCGAUACUUGGUGUGAAUUGCAGAAUCCCGUGAACCAUCGAGUCUUUGAACGCAAGUUGCGCCCGAAGCCAUUAGGCCGAGGGCACGCCUGCCUGGGCGUCACACGUCGUUGCCCCCCCAUCUACUCCUUCGGGAUUGCGGGGGGCGGAUGAUGGCCUCUCGUGCGCCUCGUCGCGCGGUUGGCCUAAAUGCCAAGUCCUCGGCGACGCACGCCACGACAAUCGGUGGUUGCGAAACCUCGGUUGCCUGUCGUGUGCGGUCGUCGCGCAUCGAGGGCUCGAAAAAAUUGCCGGGCUUCGGCUCGACUUUCAACGCGACCCCAGGUCAGGCGGGGUUACCCGCUGAAUUUAAGCAUAUCAAUAAGCGGAGG
rnacentral:misc_RNA from 1 species